GUGCUCGCUUCAGCAGCACAUAUACUAAAAUUAGAACAAUACAGAGAUUAGCAUGACCCCUAUGCAAGAAUAACACACAAAUUGUCAUUUGUGAAGUGUUCCCUAUUUUU